rnacentral:rRNA from 1 species
UGAGGAAUAUUGGUCAAUGGGCGAGAGCCUGAACCAGCCAAGUCGCGUGAAGGAAGACAGUCCUAAGGAUUGUAAACUUCUUUUAUACGGGAAUAACGGGCGAUACGAGUAUUGCAUUGAAUGUACCGUAAGAAUAAGCAUCGGCUAACUCCGUGCCAGCAGCCGCGGUAAUACGGAGGAUGCGAGCGUUAUCCGGAUUUAUUGGGUUUAAAGGGUGCGUAGGUUGUUCGGUAAGUCAGCGGUGAAACCUGAGCGCUCAACGUUCAGCCUGCCGUUGAAACUGCCGGGCUUGAGUUCAGUGGCGGCAGGCGGAAUUCGUGGUGUAGCGGUGAAAUGCAUAGAUAUCACGAGGAACUCCGAUUGCGAAGGCAGCUUGCCAUACUGCGACUGACACUGAAGCACGAAGGCGUGGGUAUCAAACAGGAUUAGAUACCCUGGUAGUCCACGCAGUAAACGAUGAUUACUAGGAGUUUGCGAUAUACCGUCAAGCUUCCACAGCGAAAGCGUUAAGUAAUCCACCUGGGGAGUACGCCGGCNACGGU